AGUCAAACUUAUUCCUUUACUGAAAAUUUAAAACAACACUUUUCCCAUCAAGAUACCUUAACAUUAAAACUCUGUAAUCUUACAAUACUCCACAACAACACAUAAAAAAUAGAGAAUUUUGUUUUCAAAUUAUUGGAAUUAUUGGACUCGGUCGGCGAAUCAUACCACAAUGGGUCUCUCAACAUUUGCUAUUUGGGUUCUUAUAGGCGUUCUAGCAGCGGCCAUCGCAAUUACUUCUUGCGGUUUAAUUCUGGGACUCUUUUAUGACAGGUAUACCGUGAAAAAAACCAAUGGAACAAAUACUAUAGCGACUAUAGCAUUUGAUAUAUAACCGAGAGUGUUGUGCAUAUUGUGUUGGUAAAAUAAAUUAAAUUGUCGAGCGAUUCAAAUGGAAGUUUGAGUGAACAUGUAAUAAAAAGCGUUAAAUAUA
rnacentral:sRNA from 1 species